UGGAACUCAGCGGCGUGUCUUGAUUAGUUCACUUUAUGUAACCAAUGCCUUAAAUUAUUCUCUCGAUAAAGAAGUAACACUGAUGAUAAAAUAUUCGCUGGACAGGUAUGAUGAGUCACUAAGACUAGAAAGACGAGAAGAACUUUGACAACAUCUUGUCGUGAGUGACAAUGUCCAUCUUGUGGGUCAGUUUAUCUUAAAAUAACUUGGUCGUGCUAGAAGGCUGCAUAAUUAAUAUUUGUUGAAUUAAUGUGUUCAUUUUUAGAAUGUGUUCAAUCCAGAAGCUUAUCGUCGUGUACAGAAACAUUAGAUAAAAUAUUCAGUAACAUCUGGCAUGGUUCCAUAGAUGAAUAGCUUUUACAUUUCUAGACAGCAGACGACAAAGAUGACGAUUCAGGUUCUCUUAUUCUUACUUCUUGCCUAUUGCCAUGGUUUCCUUAUACAAAAGUUUGACUGUCUGACUUGUGCUGAGGGGGACACUUUCUGUCUGUCGAAUUGUAUCUUCACCAUCUUCCCAACCAAUUUGUGCUCUAACUGUCUGCCCACUGACUUUCAGUGUUUGUCGUCUUGCAAGCUGAUUGGAUGAUGUGGUCACGUGUUAUGUGCUACUGAAGGACAUUUGGUUUAUGUAUGACAUUGUAUGUGAAUAUGUUAAUGUGUUAGAAUUGUGCUGGUAUUCAACUAUAAGGGUAUCAAGAAACUAAAGACUGUCUUGGACAAAAUAUGCCGUGUUUAGUUGCGAAUUGCUUUUUAAUGCUAUCGACACUUUUCAAAACACUUACAUUGAAAGUUGUUUUCUGUUUUUAAAGUAAGGAGUCCUACUAGAACAAUAUUUUGUAGCUUGGAACAAAGAAACACCUGAAAAAUUCAGUUGUUUAUAAAAGAGAGAGCCCAAACUCAGUUUCUAACGUUUCUGUUCUUAAAUUAGAAGCAAGCUAACUCUAGUCUACAUUUUGAAAUUUUGAGGAUUUUUUGUUUUGUUUCAGUGUACCUCGAGUUUCUUCCUUCAUUUCUACGGUCCCUUUUAUGCCCAGCGCCACCCAACCGCCCCCAUUGUGCCGAGCGCCCCCUAACCCUUCCUUUUGACUCCCAGCGCUCCCAAAUAUCAAGAAAUCGCUCCCAGUGGGGCGCUAGACCCCGUUGAAGAACACUAACAAUAAUAAUGUGCAAUUACAAAUAUUUUUACUGGUUGCUUAAAUCUAGCGCAAUUUCAUGCUUUUAACUUUCUCAGUACGCUAUGGUCCUAUACCUUGUUUGGACCAGUUCUAAAGGGGUAGGGGAGAAAAAAGGAGGUAUCUGGGUGAUCGAUUUUUGAAUACAUUUAUUAAAAAAAAGGUAAACGACCUGAAUUCGAAGUCGAGGGCUAAAGCCUCCUCAGCCUCAUCAAGCCAAUACUCUAACCAAUGUGCCAUGUUUGUGAAAAUAGAAGGUUUAUUAAUUAUCUAUUGUUAGUUUCAAAUUUUCCUCUCUACAAAGUAUAAAGGGGACUAAUUCAGUUUAUACCACCACAUCAGUCAACAUCAGUCAAGUACAAUUUCUUAUCUUUUUUUUUUAGAUACCAAACAAAAAAAAUAUUACCAAUAGUUAACUAACUAAUUGGAUAUUUUUUUUUAUUGAUUCUUGUGUUGUCAGGUAAAAUAAAUAAUUGUGUAAACUUUCAUCUUGAUCCGAGAUCGGAAGUUGGAGAAAUAACAUGUACAAACAUUUUACAAGAUAGUCCUAUACAUAGAACUAAAGAUCACAAUGGAUAGAAUUAAAUGGAACAUUAACAUUCGUGAGUGAGGUGAAGUGAAGUAUCUUACAAUGGAGUAUUCUGGAACGUUCAUUGUAGAAACACCUUUGAAAGUGUAGUCGUAAAGGAAUUAUCAAAGUAUCAAAAAUCAAAUUGUGUUUCAGACACAAUUCUAACAAUCCAAAUCAAUGAACUUAGGCAUGGUAAUACCAGACAUGGUUUUGAGGUUUUAUUCUGUCACUGCGAACUUUAACUCUUCCCUUUGAAAGUCAAUCUUUCUUCCAUCUUUUCAAUUUGGAGCUAUAGGUCAGAUGAUGAAAAGGUCAUCUGUUUAUGUGGCCUACGGUUUACGAGGGUGUCACGUGGCCGACACAUCGACCAACCACCUUUACUUUUCCCCAACUAAUGUCAAGUACCCAUUAGAGAUGGGUGGACUCAGAGGCGGCCAAAGAUCCCGAAAUUAAAAAUCUCAGUCUUCAACAGAAUUCGAACCGGGGACCCCCAGCGCUUUACCGCUCAGCCACCGCACAACUGCAGCUAUAGCCUAAUAAUGACAGCAAAACACGAUUUUAGACUAUUCCUGACUGUUUAUCUAUUUAUUUGUAUUUUUUUUUAUGCCAGAAGAUAGUAAAAAAAAUAUCUUUGACCUAUUUUUACUGAAACAUUCUAAAUAUAGAGCUCGCGGUUUUGUGAAAACAUAAGGCGGACUAACUGCACAGAAUUAUUCAAUUAGAACAAUGAAGCUGGUAAUAGUCCUUGUUUUCAUAGCCGUAACAUCCGGGAUCUCUACAGCUCUGCUGACAGAUCUUUUAGGGUUAGACUGCCUCACAUGUUUACCCACAGACUUCUCGUGUCGGUUCAGGUGCCCGGAACUAUUGCGAAGGCAGCUAUGUCAACACUGUUCUCCCAGCGACCCGGUCUGCAUGCCGCUGUGUCUGAGGACUCUGAGACGUCGACGUGACAUAGAAUGUUUGAUGUGUCAUGAGAACCUUUCGUGUUUAAUUCAAUGUGGCUACGUGGGUGUUAGCGUUGGGAAAUAAAACCCAAAGAUCUAAUUCGAGUAUUGUUCGUGCGAGUAGCAUUUCGCUUUUUUUGAGUUCUUCAUUAAGAGAUUCGAUUUUUAAUUUUUUGUGAAAAUAGAAUGUAAAAAUAAAUUUAUAUGUUAUAUGUA